CGGCGGCGGCGGCGUCCUGGAGGGCCCGGUGGCGGCGGUGGCGUCUUGGAGGGCAAUGGCUGAAGGUUCAAUUAAGUUGACCUCUCCUUCAGGCGACUUAAAGGGAGACCAGAUGUGCGGCAGCUGGGUGUCAUGGUGCAGAGACCCAACGCUGUACUGAACUACACCAGUGUCCUACUCCCAUAAACCCUGAGGAUCCCUGGAUGGCUACACCAGCACAUUAAUCCACACCCAACAUCAACACACAGUGCACUCUAUAGAGCUCGUAAGUCCGCCCCUUGCGGCGGGACCUCGUGAGAUCGUAAGAUAUGACUGGGUUUCAAUGGAGAGAAAGUAAUUAUUUUCUCCAUUUUAUGUUGCACCACAUUUUGGGGGAAGAAUGUUUGAAUCAAUAUUUGUCAUUUAUUGCUGUACUCCAUAUCUGUAAUCCCAGCUGUUGUAUUUUAACACGGUAGCUGGGAACCCUCUUUAUAGGGAGCGACUAGAGGGACGAGGCUGGAAGCAAACCUGAGCCUGGAUCUUAACCUUCUUUCUAAACCUAACGCCGCAAUUUAACAAAUAAAGUGGAGCCUAAAGUAACUUGACUCUCUUACCUAAACUUGCUUGCCUAAACUCGCUUGUCUAAACUCGCUUGCAUAAAACCUAAACUCGCUUGCAUAAAACCUGAACUUGCUUGGCUAAACUUGCGUCGCUUGCCUAAUACCUGAACUUGCUUGCCUGAACUUGCUUGCCUGAACUCGCUUGCCUGAACUCGCUUGCCUGAACUCGCUUGCCUGAACUCGCUUGCCUGAACUCGCUUGCCUGAACUCGCUUGCCUAAUACCUGAACUCGCUUGCCUGUACUCGCUUGGCUAAACUCGCUUGCAUAAAACCUAAACUCGCUUGCAUAAAACCUAAACUCGCUUGCAUAAAACCUAAACUCGCUUGCAUAAAACCUAAACUCGCUUGCAUAAAACCUAAACUCGCUUAGCUUGACUCGCUGGCUAAUACUGGAAAGCUAAUACCUGAAGUCGCUUGGCUAAUACCUGAAGUCGCUUGGCUAAUACCUGAAGUCGCUUGGCUAAUACCUGAAGUCGCUUGGCUAAUACCUGAAGUCGCUUGGCUAAUACCUGAAGUCGCUUGGCUAAUACCUGAAGUCGCUUGGCUAAUACCUAAACUUGCUUGUCCAAACACGUUACACAAAGUUAACCAUCCAUAAUCUUUAACCCAAACCAGACUUGUCCCUGGGUCGCUCCACUUUAAUUUAGAAGUUUCUUCUUUUACCUCAUCUGCGUUUUGAGUUUCAUUCUUUGAGGGCUUGAAGUGCUUUGGAGGAUAUUUGAACCUUUGUUUGCCGCAUCAAUAAACAUGCUUUAUCUUUACCUAUUUUGUUUUGGAUUGCAUUUCUAUGUGUAAUCCGGCCAAAUGUUCAGUGUCCUUGCAUGUAAUGUCUAUGGUCUGACGAUAAUCUGACCUCUUCAUGAAGCAGAAUGUGUGUGAAUGUUGUCCCGUGAGCUCCAGGCUCUCUGUGGGCCUGUCAACGUCUCUUUAGCAAAAGGUUGGAGAGUGAAAUUCAUUUUUGGGCCAUUUUCAUGUGUUCCUGAGUAUUUCAGACCUGUGGUGUUUCACAUGAGACCUUAAUGGGAACUUUUCUUUUUCUGCCUGCAUACGUAAUGCCUACAUUAGUAGGGUGAUCACUGUUGAUCCCAAUAUUGAUCAUUAACCACCUCAUUCUUUGGGAUUACAAAUCAUGUAAUUUAUGAGCAUAUUUGCAAAUGCCUCCAAAUAUCAGAUUGUGUAAAAACGAAUGAAAUGUAACCUGCUUGAUUUAAAGAAAAUAAAACAUCCAAAUAUUAUAAACCUGUUUUGUGUUGCUCUCUUAG